rnacentral:lncRNA from 1 species
AGCUCCUGGCGCUGGCCUGUGUGGUGGAUGCACUUAGCUGCAAGGAGUGGAUCAACAAGAGAAUUCUUCAACUCUGAGGCAGCCAGAUCAGCCCAGCAUUUCAUAAUUAUUUGCUCAAGAUCUGCAUCCCACCUUCUUAGGAAAGAACAUGAGGCAAGCCGCACAUUAGGAUACAGAACAAGAUAGACCACUGAAGAGCAU